UUAUUUUGUGCCUAAGUACUUGAAAACGCUUAAAAGAAAACGUAAGCUUUGUUAUAAUGAUCAUUACUGUAGGACUGCGUGUGUUCAUUUAUUUCUAAAUUCAAGAACCCUGCAAAGAACAGUGAAAUAUUAAUAGAAGAACAAGAAAGUCUGAGACAAAAAAAAACUUAAAUGGAAAUUUAUAAUAUUAGUCUAAAAAAUGAUUUGGUGUUAUUUUUUUCCUUUACUAUAAAUGCAUCUUUUUUUCUUCAACACAGCUUCUUUACAAAUUUUCUAUUUAU
rnacentral:lncRNA from 1 species